CAUCGCAAUAUAUUUAGUAGAUCAGCGAGGCAUUCCAUAUUUUUGAGCAAGUAAAGAACUUUAUUUCCACUUUGGAUUAAUCAAAUUUUAGGUAAUUAAAAGAAAUCUAUCAUUCCCUUUUCUAUAAAGUUGCAACAUGGACAGAAUGUGGAUGUGAAAGUUUUUGCUAGACUAGAAUGUAUUUACUUCAAUCACCUGAUUAGCUUCUUACGUGGACGAAACCCUCUGGUAUUGAUGAAUAUAAAAGAAUUAAAUGUGACUGAGGUUUUGAAAAUUAAAAAAUCUUUUUAAAUGAGUAUUGAUUGUUCCUAUAUAUGCAAUUACUAGAAGCUGGAUUGUGGAGUAUAAUGCCAUUACUAGAAGCUUAUUGGCAUAUGGAAAAAACUAGAGAGUAUUUAUGCUUCUAGACCCAUGACUAAUCGUUUUCUUUUGAAGUUAGAUUUGUACUCUUGAGGAUGGAUGAAGGAAUGGGUAUACACAAGAGUUAAAAGGUUGACAACACAAGUAGUCAAUAUUAGAAAAAACAAAAUUGGGGAAAAAGAGCGAAACCUCAUUCUACAAGCCAUUGGUGCAAACAAUACUAGUUAAAAGGAUAACUUUAGGUUUAAUCUUACUAGAUAGAAUAAAAGGUUUUGAAAGGUAACGAGGCAUUGGUGAUGGAAGGUAAUCUAGGAAAUAAAAUUAUGAUUGUCAUGGGAGGAACAUGGCAUAAAGAGGUAGAUUUGGUAUAAAAAACUCUAUUUGAGAUUCUAGAUCUAGAGUGGAAUACAAUAUUAAUAUUUUUAUUGUCAUUGCAAAAUACUAGUUAAAAGGAUAACUUUAGGUUUAAAUGAUACAACUAUAAUUUUAUUGGAGAAUGAUAGGUUUUGAAAAUAGAAAACAAUGUCAAAAGGUAACGAGGCAUUGGUUAUGGGAGGUGGUCCUGUAAUUUACCAUGAAAGAUGGGAGCAAAGUGUUGAAUAUUAAACUCAAUCCAGAAGCUCCCAGAAGGUCAAGGAAGACAACCAGCCACCAGCCACCAGUCGCCGACCAGCCGCCAGCCGCCUUCACACUUGAAGGUUGAAUUUUCUAGUUUUUGAUUUCGUGUAUAAAUAGAGUGCCUAGCUUCUGUUAAUGUGUGUGGAGAGAAUUGAGAGCAAACACUAGAAAGAGAAAUAGAGAGAGAGAGGGCAUGUACUGUUAAGCUUUUGUUAAUUAAUUGUAAGCUUGUGUUUUUGUAACAAAACUUUGUGUUUUAUCCCCUCUGAGUGUUUCAAAGUCACCACCAGUGGUUUCUCCCAUGCACCAACAAUUAGUAUCAGAGCCCCGUUCGUCAGAAAACAGAAGUGUUUUGGGGUACAUCCGAAUUUUCAAAGUUGUCAAAAACAAGUUUUGAUCAUUCCACAGUGAAGAGCUCAUCAAUACGAACUCACUGUCGCAAGAAUCAGCCUUAUCGGAGUCCGCGGUGAUCCACACGCGCCGCCUGAAGAUCCGGUGACUGUAUCCCAUGCGCAUCCACGCGCGCCAUAUUUGAGCCGCGCCGAGCCCGAGCCGCGCCGCAAGCCGAGCCGUCCUCCGCACCGAGAGAAUAUUCCCCAAAAUAUUCCCCGAAUAUUCCUGGUUCAACCUAGCGAACCGCCCGCCGUACAGAAUUGGUUUUUUGACCGGUUCACCCAUUUUCUGACCCGAAUUCAACAAAGUCAGACCGGUUCCCUGCUAUUUGGAUCAUUCCAGAUCGAUCUACAAUGUCCGUUUGGCCAAAUUCGGCUCCUAGAAAGGUGAUAUAAUCAUUCAAAGAGCAAAAUGACUACAGAAGAUACACAUACACUCAUUCCAAAGCUGACCAAAGACAACUAUGAUAGUUGGUGCAUCAGAUUGAAGGCAUUCCUUGGGUCACAAGAGUGUUUGGAUAUUGUACAAACUGGUUAUGAUGAAUCAGAGUCCAAAGAAAGAGAAGAUGUUUUAUAAGAGGCACAAAAGCAAGCUCUUAAAGUCAACAGAAAGAAAGACAACAAAGCAAAGACCAUCAUCUAUCAGGGUCUUGAUGAAGACACAUUCGAGAUCAUAGCUUCCGCUGAAACAUCACAUGAUAUAUGGAGGCUCUCCAACAGAAAUACAAAGGUGCUGACAGAAUUAAAAAAAUUCGUCUUCAAUCUUUGCGAGGUGAAUUUGAGUUAUUGCAAAUGAAGUCCUCGGAGUCUAUUUCUGAUUAUCGCACAAGGAUUAUGGUGAUAGUCAACCAGAUGAGGAGAAAUGGAGAAGCCAUCGUCGAUUCUCGAAUUACUGAGAAAAUUUUGAGAUCGCUAGAUCCAAAAUUCGAUUUUGUUGUUGUCGCAAUUGAAGAAUCUAAAGAAGUGGACAAGUUGACAGUUGAUGAACUUAUGAGUUCUUUGCAAGCUCAUGAGCAGAAAAUUGUAAAGGGAAAUGGAGAUAAGGCAAUUGAGCAUGCCUUACAAGCAAAGCUGUCUCUCAAGGACAAAUAUGAGCAAGGGGAGACUUCAACAAAUGGAUAUACCACUCAAGCAGGAAGUCAACAAUCCAGAGGAGGAUUCCAGAGAUUCCAAGGAAGAGGUUCUUGGAAUACAAGCUUUAGAGGAAGAGGUGGCAGAAACAUCAUUAGAGGAGAUCGAGGACAACAAGCAUUCAAUCCUAGAGGAAGAGGGGGCGAUUACAAUAACCAUGACAAGAGGAAUAUCCAAUGUUAUAGUUGCAAUCAAUUUGGGCACUAUAGCACUGAAUGCAGAAGGAAAGCUCUAUUGGAGAUACGUGAGCAAGCCAACUAUGCAGAGAAGGAUGACAGAGAAGAAGCUGCAUUUCUUGUCCAACAAGAACAAAAUUAAGAUAAGGAAAUGAAAUAUUAUAGUUUUACAAUAAUAUAAUUGUUUUUUGCAUUAUACUUACCUAAUUACAAUGUGGUUUUCCCACACAUUUCUUACAACCCCCUCAUUUUCCUUGUCCUGGUAAUUUUUUUUCCUUGUAGUCAAACAUUAGUUAUUUUUAAAAAAAUUUUAAAAACUAUAUAUUAACUCAAUGUAUAUAUUAUUUAUUUAACCAUUAACUUUUCCCAAAAACAUCUACUAUAAUCAUACAUUUAGAAUGAUCUUAAAGUUGACUCUAUUAAAACAAUGGUUUUUCAAAAACAAAUUUAAGAUUAAUUGUAUUAAAGAGAAAAACUAUAAAAAAAAAACACAAAAAGUGUACCUAAGAUGUACAUCAUCUUGUAACCCAAAUCAAAUUGACCUUAGACAAUAGGGAAAAAAACAAAAGCUAAAAAAAAUUAAAAAUUUCUGAAAACAAGACUGCUUGAAUAAUAGCAUAGAAAAUCAAUUCAUCAAAAUCAUUUAAUGUAAAACUUAAAAUAAUCUAUUACAAAUAAAUAACUUCAAUGGUAAGAGAAAAAACAUGACUUACAUUGUGUCGUUGGCUUUUUAUGUUGCAAUAAGUUUUCUUGAUACAGGGUCUCUAGAAGAAGGGAUUCUACCUUUUUUGUUUGUGAAAUUCAUUGUUGUAAAUGAGAUCAUUGCAUAAUUAGUUGGCAUCAAAGGACAUAAUAAUCUCUCUCUUUGUAUGAUUAAUAGAAAUGAUACUGUGAAUCUGUAAAUUAUGCCAAAAACGCUUUAUUCUGUUUCUAAAGGACUCGAGGCUAUUGCUCUAAGAGUUGAAGUGCCUAUGUUCAAAAUCAUUUUAAAAUUACCUGCAUUAUUGCAUUUUUGUUCCACUAGAAAUUGUUUCUGAUGUUUUUGACAUCUACAAAUACUGCAAGGUCCUAUCCUGGUACUACUACAUCUGCUUGGUGUGGCCUUGUUAAGUUAACUGGGUAUUUGCAUAAUGUUUCCAGGCUGAUGCUUUUGAAAGCCAGCGUGGACAAUGCAUUGAUAUCACCUGGAAAGUGAUAAUUUAUUUAAAUAAAACAGACUUUACCAAGGUGAUGGAAACAAUGCUAUACUGCCCUGACAAAUAAAUGUAUAAAUGACAUGCGAGAGUUAAACUGGUUUUGCUUACACCAUUGUGCAUAGAACUGCUUAUUUCCUUUUCUGAAGAAUGUUCUUUGUACGCUUAAUUGAACUAGUCUCUUUAAGUGUUCAAUGGUUCUCACCAACCAUUUGUCAAAGAAAUAAAGAAGUCUGUUAAUUUUAUUGGUUUGCCAUUCCAACAGGGGCUGGAUCCCCUUUAAAUUGUGCAUGCAACUUGUUAGCAAACCUCUUAUUUUGGUAGGCAGAGUUUAUCCGUGUUGUGACUUCAGAUAAUAACAAUGACUGAUUUGGUCAAUCUCUCAAAAAGUUUUCUGUAUUCCCGAGAGUAAUAAUCCUAAUCAUCAUUUUAGGUUAGUUGACAGAAUAUCUUUCUUGGUUAUUUCUUAGUUCAUAUGAACCAAACCUGCCUCAUUCCUCCCCUCAUGCGAGGUAGUUAAGUAGUGUAUGAGCCCUAGUACUGGUUUCAAGAUAUGACUUAUCACUGUGUAUAUGUCUGUAGUUAGUUUAGCUGAGAGUUCAAACAAGUGUUUAUGGUGUUAAACGUUUUUCAAUCAUAAAUUGUUUUGCAGAUAUAAUUGAUGAAUUGGUGAAGAAUGGGAAAGAGAUAAGGCUGUAUAUUUUGCUUCUGAAUCUGGUUUGACGAAAAGAUUUUCUCCUGUAUCUCUACUCAAGUCAUAUCUUAAGAAUUCCAAGAAGAUCACAACUACUGUCUUGAAGAAUGGCAAUUAUAGUGUAGCUGCAACGGUGUGUCUAAUCUCUAUCUACAUUGUGUAAUUCUAAUGACAUGAAAUAUUUGAGUCUUAUUAAUUUUUUUGCAGGAUGAGUCAAGUACCUUGGAGUUGAAUUCUAUUAAAGCAAUCAUCAAAUGUGUGGAAGAUCAUAAGCUUGAAUCAGAAUUUUCCCUUGACAGCUUGAGAAAACGGGCUUCUCUGCUUGAAAAAACCAAAGCAGAGAGGAAGAGGGGUACAUCAUCAGCUGCCACUGCUACCAAGUCUCAAAACAAGCGAGGCCAUGGUUCAAGUGGUGGCCGGGACAGUGGACCUACUCCUUAUCGUCAAGCCAAAGCUGCCAAAUUUUCAAACAAUUAUUCCUCUUUCAGCCGCAGGAAUGCUCCUCUCCCUGCACAGCAUAGCCCGGCUAGAAGAUAUUCAGGGCCAUUCCACUACCCUAGCCAGAGUGUCUACGAGGGCCCCGCAGCAGCCCCGUAUGCAUCAACUUAUGGUAUCUCGCACGCUCAAAGCCCUUCUGCAAUCUCUCAACAACCCUACCAUCACUCUCAAAGCCCCAGUGCAAUUCCUCAACAACUCUACUCACAGCCAGCGGAGAACAUGAGUGCUGCCGGUUUCCGUGCCAGUGGUUCUUAUGGAAGCCAGACCGGGUUACGGGGCAUAUGAUUACGGCUCUGCUGCACCCGUUACUUACCAACCUUCAUCCUACACUCAAUAAGAUGGGAGGAACCUAGCCAGGUGUUAAGAUUCUUAUUUUUAUUUGGUGUCUGAUUUCUGGAUGUGGCCCUCUAAUUUUGGGACCCGCCCCCUUCAUCUCCCUUUCCCGUAUAAAAGUUUUUUUUUGGUCUUAUCUCAUGACUGGAUAUGAUGCCCAUGCCUGUAACGCUGAUUACCUUUAUAUGGAGCUCAAGCUGGAUGUGAUUUCCGUGCUGUGAGUUUUAAAUGGUUUGGCUAUCGAGCAUUGUGAUUACUCUCAUGAUUGGAGUCGCCAUUGGGCGCCUAUGCUUGUUUUUUUGCUAAAUUUUGGCAUGCCUAAUAGACUAAUUUGUUAAAUCACAACAAUUUAGUAAUCAUGCUAAAAAUCCAAUUUAGUAAGAACAUGGCUAUGAUGGGUAACAAUUAGCUAGCCCUUGUAAUUGAUAGACGUCAUUCUUUUGGCCACGAGAGGUCUGAAAAUAACUCACAAACAUUCAGACCAAUGGAGAAGCUUGUAUUACAUGUUCUAUAAAAUGGUUAUUCAUCAUCUAAUUCUUUAUAUAAACAAAUAACUACACAUGAAUAGAACAAUAAUGUUCCCUUAUAGUUUAUAAUAUUGCCACCUUUGUGAGUAUCAUUACCUUUGUGAAUAUCAUUUUGCCUCUACCAUCACAACCUCACAGUUAAUUUUUUUUUUCAUCAUUCAAUUUUUUUUUAAAAUUAGUCUUAUAAUUUGUUUUUUCAAUUCAGCUAUCCCCGAUUUCAUUACCAGAACUACAUGUUUGAUGAAUUUUUUUUGGGUCGCUGUUUUUUUAUUUAAAAUUUUAUUAGUUUCAUCCUUGAACAUUUGGUUCCUUUAGAAUUGAUUAUUGUAAUCAUUCUAAAGACAUGCAUAAAUUGUUUUAAGGCCUUAAAGUGCAUCUUCAUUCAUCUCAGAAACUGAAAAAAUAAAAAAAAAUCAAAUAAAAGAAACCUAAUUAUUUUUCCUGGCCUUGAUCUCUUUUUCUUUGUCCUUCUAGGGUGGUGUAAUCACCAUCAACAAAAUGGCCUUUUAAGGAAGAAGGGGACACUGGACACCAUUAUAGCAGGUUGCAAUGUCAGGAUCUAGAGGAAAGUUUCUCUCCUCGCCUAUCUCUCCUCGGUCCUGUCUCCGAUCUUUACAUACAGGGACUGAAUUUUAAAAAUAGUGUGUUUGUUUUUUAAAUAGGUUUUGUGGUUUUGAUUUUAAAAAAAUAAAUUUAAAAAAAGUGUGGUUAACUAUGAUUAGUUAAAUUUAAAUACGUGUUUAGUAAAAAUUAUAGUUGAAGUUUAUGUGUAACAAAAAUAAUGUAUAAAAUAUUUGGUGGAAGUAUAGUUGCCGUUGUUUUUUAAAGUGUUUUUUACUUGGAAAUGUAUCAAAAUAAUUUUUUUAAAAAAAUUAUUUUUGAUAUCAGCAUUGAUUUGAAAACAAAAAAAAUAUAUCAAUUUGAAGCAAAGAAAAAAAUAAAAAAAUUUAUUUUUUUCAAAAGCGCUUUUGAAACAUAAAAAUAAAUAGGGUUUUAUGAAACUCAAUUAAAAAAUCAUGUAAAAACUACUACAUAAAAAUUACGUUUCAAACUCAACUUUUUAGUAAGUCCCGCAUUACAAACCAAAGUUUAGUUUGUUAAUUACCAAACACUUUGCCAUGUUUGUUUCACCACAAACAAAAAACCAGUGAAGAAAUCCUAAAUAUCUAAAUAAUUUAUACAUGUUUUUUACUACACAUAACCUUUAACUAUAAUUUUUAUUAAACACAUAUUUAAAUUCAAUUAAUUACAAUUGACUCUAUUUAAAAAAAAAAACUUAUUUUUUUAAAUUAAAAUCUCAAAAACUAUCUAAAAAAUAAAGAAACGAGUGAGGAUGUUGAUGAUGCCAAGCAAGUCAGUGUAAAGUGGAAAUCUUGACAAGAUGUUGUAGCCUUCAUAAAAAGUACAAUGCAGUACAAAACGAGAGGUGAAUGUUUGAGAUUGUUAUAAUUUUUAAUUUUAUAUGAUUUUUAAAAGUAUAUUUUAUUUUAAAAAUAUAUUAAAUUAAUAUUUUUUUAAUAAUUUUUUCUAAAACAUAUUUUUCUAAAACAUAUUUUUAAAAAUAAUUUCCAUCACAACACUAAAAACAUAUAAAUAUUUAUCAUAGUAACAAGAAGUGAUAAUAUUUGAUGUAAAAACGGCUGAAUGUAUAUGUCAUGUUUCGAGAAGCGUCCAUGAUUAUAUCAUUAUGAUCCCAAAAAGAAAAAUAUUAAAUAUUAGGCUACAAUUAUUUAUAUACAGUUUUAAAACCUGGACCGGCCCGGCAGGUCAACUCGGGCCGAGACCGGUCCAGGUAGAGGCAAAAAUCUACUUGGAAAUUGACUCGGUAAAACCCGGUCGAUCUGCCGGGUUGACCCCGUGACCUGGACCACCCGGUCAAACCCGGCUGACACAUGAUCUCUCUUUCUCUCUUUCUCUAUAUAUAUAUAUAGACGUUAAACGACGUCGUUUUGGCCUUAAAAGGCCAAAACGAUGAACAAUGACGAAGCAGAAUUGGGGACACAUUGAUUACAGAGCAAACCCAAUUAACGAAAGAUUCCAUCACAGCCAAUGCAACUACAGUCUGGUCUAUAAGCUUUUGGCUUUCUUCUUUGCUCUUGCCAAUUAGGAUUUUUGCGUUUCGAGUGAUCGAUUUGCCCAUCAAAGUUGAAGUGAAGGGAGUGAGUUGGUUACAGAGAGAACUCCAUUCUAGGAUUUUAAGGGUUUUGAGUUGGAGUGAGCGAGCUGGAGGAGUGAGUUUCGGUGAGUGUGAAUCAAAGGGUUUUGUUAGGGCUUUGGUGGAGAAGGGUGGUUUGGUGGUGAAGAAGAGAAUCGGGGAUUUUUUAAUGGCUAUUAAAUGAUUGGAGAGUUUGAUUAAUGAAGGAUUUUUGAGGGAGAGAAGGAAAGGGAUGGGCUGUUUGACAACAACUUAUCCUUUUUAUUUUCAGCUUAUCUUUUAUUUUAGGUUGACUUGUUUUUAGGUUGACUCGUGUCAAUCAAUCUAACUCGUGAUUCGAUCACUUGACUAGAUUGAUAUCCGGAUCGAUUUUUAAAAUUAUGAUUUCUAUAAUUAGGUUACAUUUCGUUAUAGUCAUGUAUUUGAAAAAAUAUUUAGUUAAUAAAUAUAUAUAUAUAUAUAUAUAUAUAUAUAUGUUUUACUAAAAAUUAUUUUAAAAUUUUAAUUAAAAUAUAAUAUAUUUUAUAACUUUUUUUAAAAUGUAUUUUUUAAAAUCACAUAUCUAUCACAAAGAAAGAUCUUUUCAUACAUCCCAACUUUAGGCUAGAAGAUAUUCAGGGCCAUUCCACUACCCUAGCCAGAGUGUCUACGAGGGCCCCGCAGCAGCCCCGUAUGCAUCAACUUAUGGUAUCUCGCACGCUCAAAGCCCUUCUGCAAUCUCUCAACAACCCUACCAUCACUCUCAAAGCCCCAGUGCAAUUCCUCAACAACUCACUCACAGCCAGCGGAGACAUGAGUGCUGCCGGUUUCCGUGCCAGUGGUUCUUAUGGAAGCCAGACCGGUUACGGGGCAUAUGAUUACGGCUCUGCUGCACCCGUUACUUACCAACCUUCAUCCUACACUCAAUAAGAUGGGAGGAACCUAGCCAGGUGUUAAGAUUCUUAUUUUAUUUGGUGUCUGAUUUCUGGAUGUGGCCCUCUAAUUUUGGGACCCGCCCCCUUCAUCUCCCUUUCCCGUAUAAAAGUUUUUUUUUGGUCUUAUCUCAUGACUGGAUAUGAUGCCCAUGCCUGUAACGCUGAUUACCUUUAUAUGGAGCUCAAGCUGGAUGUGAUUUCCGUGCUGUGAGUUUUAAAUGGUUUGGCUAUCGAGCAUUGUGAUUACUCUCAUGAUUGGAGUCGCCAUUGGGCGCCUAUGCUUGUUUUUUUGCUAAAUUUUGGCAUGCCUAAUAGACUAAUUUGUUAAAUCACAACAAUUUAGUAAUCAUGCUAAAAAUCCAAUUUAGUAAGAACAUGGCUAUGAUGGGUAACAAUUAGCUAGCCCUUGUAAUUGAUAGACGUCAUUCUUUUGGCCACGAGAGGUCUGAAAAUAACUCACAAACAUUCAGACCAAUGGAGAAGCUUGUAUUACAUGUUCUAUAAAAUGGUUAUUCAUCAUCUAAUUCUUUAUAUAAACAAAUAACUACACAUGAAUAGAACAAUAAUGUUCCCUUAUAGUUUAUAAUAUUGCCACCUUUGUGAGUAUCAUUACCUUUGUGAAUAUCAUUUUGCCUCUACCAUCACAACCUCACAGUUAAUUUUUUUUUUCAUCAUUCAAUUUUUUUUUAAAAUUAGUCUUUAUAAUUUUGUUUUUCAAUUCAGCUAUCCCGAUUUCAUUACCAGAACUACAUGUUUGAUGAAUUUUUUUUUGGGUCGCUGUUUUUUUUAUUUAAAAUUUUAUUAGUUUCAUCCUUGAACAUUUGGUUCCUUUAGAAUUGAUUAUUGUAAUCAUUCUAAAGACAUGCAUAAAUUGUUUUAAGGCCUUAAAGUGCAUCUUCAUUCAUCUCAGAAACUGAAAAAAUAAAAAAAAAUCAAAUAAAAGAAACCUAAUUAUUUUUCCUGGCCUUGAUCUCUUUUUCUUUGUCCUUCUAGGGUGGUGUAAUCACCAUCAACAAAAUGGCCUUUUAAGGAAGAAGGGGACACUGGACACCAUUAUAGCAGGUUGCAAUGUCAGGAUCUAGAGGAAAGUUUCUCUCCUCGCCUAUCUCUCCUCGGUCCUGUCUCCGAUCUUUACAUACAGGGACUGAAUUUUAAAAAUAGUGUGUUUGUUUUUUAAAUAGGUUUUGUGGUUUUGAUUUAAAAAAAUAAGUUUAGAAAAAGGUGUGGUUAACUAUGAUUAGUUAAAUUUAAAUACAUGUUUAGUAAAAAUUAUAGUUGAAGUUUAUGUGUAACAAAAAUAAUAUAUAAAAUAUUUGGUGGAAGUGUUGGUUGUUUGUUUUUUACUUGGAAAUACAUCAAAAUAAUUUUUUUUUAAUUAUUUUUUAUAUCAGCAUUGAUUUGAAAACAAAAAAUAUAUCAAUUUGAAGCAAGGAAAAAAAUAAAAAAAUUUAUUUUUUUCAAAAGCGUUUUGAAACGUAAAAAUAAAUAGGGUUUUAUGAACUCAAUUAAAAAAUCAUGUAAAAAUACUACAUAAAAAUUGCGUUUCAAACUCAAUUUUUUAUAAGUCCCGCAUUACAAACCAAGUUUGGUUUGUUAAUUACCAAACACUUUGCCAUGUUUGUUUCACCGCAAACAAAAAACCAGUGAAAAAAUCUAAAUAUCUAAAUAAUUUAUACAUGUUUUUUACUACACAUAAAAUUUAACUAUAAUUUUUAUUAAAUACAUAUUUAAAUUCAAUUAAUUACAAUUGACUCUAUUUAAAAAAAACUUAUUUUUUUAAAUUAAAAUCUCAAAAACUAUCUAAAAAAUAAAGAAACGAGUGAGGAUGUUGAUGAUGCCAAGCAAGUCAGUGUAAAGUGGAAAUCUUGACAAGAUGUUGUAGUCUUCAUAAAAAGUACAAUGCAGUACAAAACGAGAGGUGAAUGUUUGAGAUUGUUAUAAUUUUUAAUUUUAUAUGAUUUUUAAAAGUAUAUUUUAUUUUAAAAAUAUAUUAAAUUAAUAUUUUUUUAAUAAUUUUUUAUAAAACAUAUUUUUAAAAAUAAUUUCCAUCACAACACUAAAAACAUAUAAAUAUUUAUCAUAGUAACAAGAAGUGAUAAUAUUUGAUGUAAAAACGGCUGAAUGUAUAUGUCAUGUUUCGAGAAGCGUCCAUGAUUAUAUCAUUAUGAUCCCAAAAAGAAAAAUAUUAAAUAUUAGGCUACAAUAUUUAUCAUAAUUUUAAAACUCGGACCGGCCCGCAGGUCGACUCGGGUCUGGAACCGGUCCAAGUGGAGGCAAAAAUCCACUUGGAAAUUGACUCGGUGAAACCUGGUCGAUCUGCGGGUCGACCCGUGACCCGGAUCACCCGGUCAAACCCGGCUGACACUUGACUCUCUCUCUUAUAUAUAUAUAUAUAUAUAGACGUUAAAAGACCGUUUUGGCCUUUUAAAAGGCCAAAACGAUUAACAAUGACGAAGCAGAAUUGGGACACAUUGAUUACAGAGCAAACCCAAAUAACGAAAGAUUCCAUCACAGCCAAUGCAACUACAGUCUGGUCUAUAAGCUUUUGGCUUUCUUCUUUGCUCUUGCCAAUUAGGAUUUUUGCGUUUCGAGUGAUCGAUUUGCCCAUCAAAGUUGAAGUGAAGGGAGUGAGUUGGUUACAGAGAGAACUCCAUUCUAGGAUUUUAAGGGUUUUGAGUUGGAGUGAGCGAGCUGGAGGAGUGAGUUUCGGUGAGUGUGAAUCAAAGGGUUUUGUUAGGGCUUUGGUGGAGAAGGGUGGUUUGGUGGUGAAGAAGAGAAUCGGGGAUUUUUUAAUGGAUAAAUGAUUGGAGAGUUUCAUUAAUGAAGGAUUUUUGAGGGAGAGAAGGAAAGGGAUGGCUGUUUGGACUUAUCCUUAUUUCAGCUUAUUUUUUUUUUAGAGUUUAUGCCGUGUCAAUCAUCUGACUCGUGAUCCGAUCACUUGACUAGAUUGAUAUCCGGAUCGGGUUUCAAAACUAUGAUUUCUAUAAUUAGGUUACAUUUCGUUAUAGUCAUGUAUUUGAAAAAUAUUUAGUAUUAUAUAUAUAUAUAUAUAUAUAUAUAUAUGUUUUACUAAAAAUUAUUUUAAAAUUUUAAUUAAAAUAUAAUAUAUUUUAUAACUUUUUUUAAAAUGUAUUUUUUAAAAUCACAUAUCUAUCACAAAGAAAGAUCUUUUCAUACAUCCCAACUUUAGGCUAGAAGAUAUUCAGGGCCAUUCCACUACCCUAGCCAGAGUGUCUACGAGGGCCCCGCAGCAGCCCCGUAUGCAUCAACUUAUGGUAUCUCGCACGCUCAAAGCCCUUCUGCAAUCUCUCAACAACCCUACCAUCACUCUCAAAGCCCCAGUGCAAUUCCUCAACAACUCUACUCACAGCCAGCGGAGAACAUGAGUGCUGCCGGUUUCCGUGCCAGUGGUUCUUAUGGAAGCCAGACCGGUUACGGGGCAUAUGAUUACGGCUCUGCUGCACCCGUUACUUACCAACCUUCAUCCUACACUCAAUAAGAUGGGAGAAACCUAGCCAGAUGUUAAGAUGAAGACAAAGAUCUGGUGCUCGAUUGAUGUUCAAUUUUAUCAAAUUAUGUUUAAAUUAAGUUGAUUUAAAGCAAUUAGGCCUUAAGGAAUCAAAUUUGAUUAUGAAACAAAUAUGGGAGACUGAAAUUAAUGGGUAUAGUUAAAAAGACACAGUAGCUGUGGCAGCGUAUGCAAUCUUUUCUAGCGGCCAACUCACCCUUCCAUGGUAGCGAUCGAUGCAUCUUAGAAUUCUUUUUCUGCAAUGGUAACACAUGUGUCGCCUAAUUUUUGGUUAUUUUUAUUUUAAUUAUUUUAUUUACCGAAAAGGAUAAAAUGAUGAUAAAAAAAAUAAUAAUGAUGAAAAACAAGUAAAAUAAAGAAUAAAUUAAAAUUUAGGUUAAGGACAACAUGAUGGAAAGUUUUGGGGUUUAAUUAAACUUUGGAAUUAAUCUAAUUAAUCCAAUCAAGGGCUUAAUUGGAGAAUUGAUAAGUUUUAAGACUUAAUUGAGCUUGAAAUUAAUUUAAUUAAUCCAAUCAAUGUUUUAAUUGGAGAAUUGAUAAGUUUUUGGACUUAAUUGAGCUUGGAAUUAAUUUAAUGAAUGAAAUCAAGGACGUAAUUGAAGAAAUAUCAAAGUUUGGGGUUAAUUGGGGUACAAUUUGCAAGAAAUGAAAACGCAAGGACCAAUGUGUAAAUUGCAAUGAGAUGCAGGGGUUCAAUUAAAAUUUACCCAACGACUGGACUGCUAAAAUUCAAAAUGACAAGGAUCAAAAUGCAAUUAGCCAUGUCCAUCAACACUAUUCAUCUUUUCCUUCACUCGCCCGAACAAAAACGGAUGCAUCGCCAUUACUCCUGCAAUAACAGUCAAUUUAUUACCUGGUAACGGUGGCAUUCUGUGGCUAUAAAGCCAGAGAGAACAAAGGGGCUAGAGAAGGGGGAACCGAAAAGCCACUGGUGAUCAUAGAACCGAAAAGCCACUGGUGAUCAUAGAACCGUGAGCAGCAGUGGAAGAUCUUCAUCCCCAGCAGCUUCCUCCAUUUCAAGCAGCUCCUCGCCACGGUUAGUCUCCACCCCAACACCAGAUACUCCAAGAUCAGCCACCGUGGGUAGUGUUGCCACCAAUCACCUCACACAGCAUCGUGAACUCCAACAGCAAGGCAACUGUCAGCAGCCUUGCAACAACCAGCAUCUCCCUUCUGCACCGUGAGCUUCAAUCACUCCACCAGCAUCACUAGUUCCAUCGUGACUAGCAUCACCAGCAGCUUAUCUCAGCAAAUCAGUAGCUCAUCACGGUGGCGACUGAUUUUUGAAGAGAGGCUGAAGCGUUCCUCAGCAACUCUUCUAGACAGGGAGGAGAAGAACCCCCAUCUCUUUUGUUCAGACCUCCAUCACCAUCAACCAUCGCCUUUCAUCUUCCAACAAAUAGCGUAAGCAGCAGCACAGGAAGGGAGGACUAGAGAAGACGCAGAACAACAGAAACAGAGGGGGAAACAGUAGCAGUCGGGCAAGCCUCCGUCACCAUCGACAUCGUCUUCGCCUUCACCUCGCAGCUGCGCCACCCCAGCAGCUCUUCCUCACCGUGACAUCCAGCAGUCUUCCCUUGAAGCAGCCGUCUCCCUCAGCCUUGCCAGGUAAGUUCUUCAGCUUUCCUUCUUUUGGUAAAUUAAUUACCUGUUACUGUUGCAUGCAUGCGUGAGUGAUUCACGCAUGCAUGCAACAGUGGCAGCCGGGUCACUGGUUUGGACCAGUGACCCGAACUUUUUUUUUUUUUUUUACCAUGCAACAUCAAUAAACAGAAAAAUAAAAAAAAUAGAAAAAAUAAAAAAUGUGUAUGCAUGAAUAAAAAUAAUGUAAAUUUAUUGGUUUAUUCACUGAAACCAGAGUCAGGAAUAAAAAUACCGGUUUAAAUAUAUAUUAUUUUUAUUCGUUGUAUUUUUAUUUUAUUUAGCUAGAAAAAUAACAAAUAUGUGCAUGAAUAAAAAUAAAUUUAUUUUUAUUUAUUUAUUCACUGGCACUAAAAUAGGGAAUAAAAAAAUAUUGAUUUUUUUUUUCAUAGCUAUGAAUUUUUACCAACGCCAGAGUUGGAAUUAUUCGAGCUCGAAUAUUCACUGGCGUCAGAGUCAGGAAUAUUAUAAAACAAAUCAUCAUAGCAUAAACUAAUAAAUAUUUAGCAAUUUAAGACAUAAACCAGCAAUGCAGUCUGUCUUAGGCAGAACGUUUAAAGGGUGAUAAUAUCUUCCCUUUUAAGUAACUAAUCCCGAGCCAUAGAAUCUCUGUUGACCAGUUAGGGUUCCUAGUAACCAUAAUACUAGGUGACGACUCCUUAAACAAGAUAUUUUCUUUAAAAGAACCGGAUGCCAGAAAUCUGUUCUUUUUCCAUAAUUCAAGAGAAUUAUUUUGAGGGCCGAUGCGAUGUCGGGUGCGACAACAUGUAUUCUUAUUCUUAGUGUUGUGUUGUUGGUGUUAUUUAUUUUAUUUUUUUCCAUAUUUUCCCUCUUUUCUCUUUAAAAUUCAUGAUAGCCAUUUCAAAGUUCAUAGUUGUCUCCUUAUUUUAGUAUUAUUUCAAAUGCAAUCCUUUUUUUAUUACUAAGUUUUUGUUCUAGAUCUUUUUCUAAAAUGUAAAAUUAUUUUCAAUUUUAUCAUUCAAUAAAAAAUUAUAAGUUGUCCUUUCAAUUCAUUUUUAAAAUUUGGUCCAUAUUUUUUUAAUUCCUAUUUUUAGUUUUUGAUCCUAUAGUGAAAUUAAAUUUUCCUUCCAUUUUCAUCAUCUAAUUUGUUUUUAUUUCUAAUUCUAUUCUUAUUCUUUUGGUUUUUUUUUAGAGCCUUUUGUAAAAUUAAAUUUUUUAAAUUAAUUUUUCAGCAUGAGGUUAUUUAAGAAUUGGAUUCCAUGUGUUUUUAUUGAUGGGAUGAUUCAUGACAUGGACCAAGUCAUAUAUUUAAAAAAUUGACCCGGGUUAACAUUGUUCUUUUAUUUAUUGAGUUUUAUUUUUUUUAUACACGUUUUAUUUUUUAUUUUCAUCCUUUAAUUUUUUUUUAAUUGAGCUUUAUGAUUUUUUUUUUAAUUUUCUUUCAAUCAUGUUAUCCUUAUUCAUCUCAGAAACUGAAAAAAAAAAAAAUAAAUGAAACCUAAUUAUUUUUCGUGGCCUUGAUCUCUUUUUCUUUGUCUUUCUAGGGUGCUGUAAUCACCAUCAACAAAGUGGCCUUUUAAGGAAGAAGUGGCUCAAAUUGUUUCUAUAGUUGGGUUACAUUUUAAUAUAGUCAUGUAUUUGAAAAAGUAUUUAGUUAAUUAAUAUUUAUUACAUAUAUAUAUAUAUACACACACAUUACUAAAAAUUAUUUUAAAAUUUUAAUUAAAAUAUAAUAUAAUUUAUAAAUCCCAACUUUCGCAAGAAUAGUAAUCAUGAGUCCUGACAUGUCCUCUUCCUUGUUGAAUUCUACGGGCUUCGAAUGUCAUGUUCAUGCCGAUUUACUAGGGUAUUUCUUUAUGCAUGCAUGCAAAAUAAUAUAAUAAUUAAUUAUUAGUUGAUAGAGGCUGAUAAAUAAAUAAAAAUAUAUAGUUUAUUGAGUUUCCAAAACAAAAUAAUCGCAUCAUGCAUGUGGUCUUCAACCAAAUCUACUACUGUUUGCAAAAAUAGUGUUCAUGUAGAUUAAUAAGGCCAUGUUUGUUUCUCGGAAAGUAGUUUUUAGAAAAUUAUUUUCCAAACUUUCUUGUGUUUGUUUGUCAUUAGAAAAGUUGGUCAACGGAAAACACUUUCCAGUAAAAAAAAAAUUUUAACUUGGUUUUCAGGAAAGUAUUUUCCUUUUAGAUGUGCUUGUUUUCUGGAAAGUGGUUUCCGAGAAAUUACUUUCCAAACUUUCUUGUGUUUGUUUGCCAGUAGAAAAGUUGGUCAAUGAAAAAUACUUUCCAGUAAAAGGAAAAUUUGGCUUGGUUUUCAGAAAAGUGUUUUCCUGAAAAAUUUAAGGGGAAAACACUUUCCGGAAGUUGUGAAAAAUUUAGAAAUGUCAUUAUUUUCUGAUUAUAUCAAAUUUGAUCCUCAAACUUUUGAUUGCUAUAUAUAUUUUGUUUUGAAUAUUUAUUUUUCAAUUUCAUCUCUUAAAAUGUUAUUUUUAUAUUAGCGUUGGUCCUUAUUUUUAUAGUUGCUAUUUGCUUUUUCCUUAUUAUUUUUUUAUUGAAAUUUUUUAUUUAUCAAAUUUGAUCCUCAUUCUUUUUAUUGUUACUUAUUUUAUUUGAAAUAAUUUAUGAAAUGUUGAUUAUUAUUAUUUUAAUUUCUUCAUUUUUUUUUUUUAGAUUUGAUCCCUAUUAUUUUGAUUAUUAUUUAUUUUAUUUGAGAUAAUUUAUGAAAUUAUAUUUUUUUUUUCAAUUUCAUUCUCAUUCAACUUUUUAAUUUGUAAGAUUUGUUCCUCAUUAUUUUAAUAAACUUGAGAAAAAUAAAAUAUUAAUAAGUUAUUUUCUAGCUCAUUUUCCAUGACAUAACCAAACACUGGAAAGUGUUUUCCAACUCAUUUUCCAUUACACUACCAAACAUCGGAAAAUACUUUAUCGGAAUUCACUUUCUCCGGAAUUCACUUUUCAAAAGGAAAACUUUCCAGCAAACAAACGGAGCCUAAGUACUAUUUAUUGAAACAAAGUAAUGAUAUUUUGCUUUUCUUGUAAAAGAAUUUGAACAAGUUAUUUAAGAUAGUUUCACAAGUUUCAUUUGUUAUUAUCGGGUCAAAUUAAUAAGUGUUUUUGCAUUUUAAAAUUAUAGUGAAAUAAUUAAAAUAUUCUUAUAUGUAAAAAAUUAUAAAUUGAUGUCCAAGAACUUUUUAGUAUUUUCACAUUAGUUUUUUCGUUAUUAUUAGGUUAGUUGAAGGAAAAUUUGGUAUUUUAAUAAAUAUAAAAUAUUAUUUAAAAACAAAAAACGGCUAGCCUAUGUAAUGCUUGUGCUAGCGUAUGGGUGGUGCUAGCUCCAUUCGGGUGGCAUCUCUCGACGACCGAACACUAGCUUUUGCCAUGUUAUUAAUUGAAAGCAUUGCAAUAUAAUCUUCCUUUAAGAACGGCACGUUGUGUUAUUGGGGUGGUUAUGUGAUGUUGGUGACCUUUUUUUCUUCUCAUCCCACUUUAGUCUUUCCUCCUUUUAAAAAUCAUGUUGGUCAUGUGAAAUUUUAAAGUUGUCCUUUAAUUUAUUGAGAUGUCAAAUUCAUUAUUAUUUUUUUUGAUAUUUUUUUUUUUGUUCUUGGUUAUUUUGUGAAAUUUUUAGUUAUUUUUAAUUUUAUCCUUCAAUCUCAAUUUGUGAUACAUUAUAUUUUUUUCAAUUUAGUCCUUAUUCUUUUGAUAUUUUUAUUUUUUGAGUCCUUUUAUAAAAUUGAAUUUUCUUUUCAAUUUCAUCCUUCAAUUAAAAAUAAAAUUUAUUUUUUAUUUUAAUUUUAAUUUGCAUUCCUUCAAGUACCCUUUUUUUUAAUCUCUCUGUAUAAUUGAUUUUUCUUUUUUUCAUUUUUAAAUUUUAUCAAAAACGCACGCGAUUCGUUGUUGUCAAACUAUCUAGUGCUAAGAAUUCGAAAGUCAAGUACCCUGCAAUAUGAAAGAACUCUGAAAACACACACCAGAGACAUGCAUGUUCUGCUUUAUAUAUAACCAAAGUCGUUACAAGAAAGAAGAGAAAGUGCUUAUCUAUUUGUUACAAGAGAUACAAAUUACAUGAGAUUUAAAUACAAGAUAAAAUGCCCUCCCGUUUGCAAGCUAUCCAGUUUGAACUGGAUGUGAUCCUAUUCUCUACCCAUAAAAAUAAUACUGAAUUUAAAGGGAUUUGCAGUCAGGACAGACAAUAAUGAUUUUCCAGCUGCAAGCAUCAAUCUAUAGGAAAAACCUAAUUGAUAAUAAUAAAAAAAGGCUUGGAAUGUGAUGAUGGUUAGGAAAAAUCCAGUACGUUCGUGCACCGUGAUUGUCAGCAUGAAUGUAAAUGCUAAACCCAUGCAGAAAAGGGAGUAGAAAUUAAAAUAUGUCGCCAUCUCCAUGCAUAUUGUUACAUAAUUGGUACCACCUAAUGAUAUCUGACAAAGGAUUAUAGCGGCGAUGAGGGAGAGAUUCAUAGCUAGCAUGUCGAAAAAAACAUAAGCUCUCAUCAGAUUUUUUGAACUACCACUGCUAAGAUCACGACCUGAUCCAGGCACAGUGAUAGCACCAGCGAAGGUUACUCCAACUACCAGUACUGCCACCACGAGAAGAUUCCCUACCCCUCUGUUCAGUUGCUCCGUCGUUAACGUCGUUCUUGGUAAAUCAAAGAUAGGACUGAUGCAAGGCUCAGGCAUAUCAUCUGCCUCCUCCAAAACUUUAAAUACCUUACGCUGAACAACAAAGUGUUUAUUAGAAAAUAUAUGGUAAACAAAUUAAUUAUAUAAAGCAUCAUGACAAUGCUAGCUUAAUGUCCCAUAAUAACGAAGAAGGAAUUCAUCGCUAUAUAUUUAGUAGAUCAGCGAGGCAUUCCAUAUUUUUGAGCAAGUAAAGAACUUUAUUUCCACUUUGGAUUAAUCAAAUUUAAGGUAAUUGAAAGAAAUCUAUCAUUCCCUUUUCUAUAAAGUUGCAACAUGGACAGAAUGUGGAUGUGAAAGUUUUUGCUAUACUAGAAUGUAUUUACUUCAAUCACCUGAUUAGCUUCUUACGUGGACCAAAGCAACUAGAAUAUAAUUUGACUUGGAUGCGAAUGGUUCUUUAAAUGGCUAACCAAAACCCUCUGGUAUUGAUGAAUAUAACAGAAUUAAAUGUGACUGAGGUUUUGACAAUUAAAAAAUCUUUUUAAAUGAGUAUUGAUUGUUCCUAUGCAAUUACUAGAAGCUGGAUUGUGGAGUAUAAUGCCAUUACUAGAAGCUUAUUGGCUAUAAGAGAUAAUUAAUGAAGUUAUCUUUAUUGGCAUAUGGAAAAAACUAGAGAGUAUUUAUGC
rnacentral:lncRNA from 1 species